AAAAAGGUAGCAGGUUUCUUCUCUAAGACUAAAAUGUCAGAAUUACCAAAUAUUUGACAUUGUCACAGAAAAGAUUAGUUUUAUGUAUUUUAUGAUGUUAGAGGGGGUUUAUAUAAUAAAUGCCCAAUAUUUUGUCCAUAUCUGGUAGAGCAUGAGCAUACUGGGUAAAUUGUGAAAACGUUGUCAUAACUUUUUAUGAGCAGUAUAUUGAGUUUCUUCAGUGGGAAAUUAAGCUGCAGGUAAAAAGCAUGCAGGCUGUGGGAAAGGUAAACUCACCUGUCUGUUCAUCAGUGCAUUUGCCAAGAAGGUUUCCAGCAGGCAAGUUGACUGGGAAAUGGCUCUUAGGAGCUUUUUGGGUUUGAGCGUGAGCCAGAACCACAAGAACCUUUGGGUUUGAGCGUGAGCCAGAACCAUGAGAAGUAUGUGAGCUACGAGAGCUAUGAUAGCUAUGUGAGCUAUAACUGGGUGUGAGGGAUGACACAGAUGUGACCAGCGGGACUGUAGGAGAACCAUCUGCAAGAGAUGUCUACAGACUAGCGUGGUGGCAGACUGUGAUUAGGAUAUCUGCAAGAGAUGUCAACAGUCAACCAUCCAAGAUGUGCUAGUGUCUGGUCGUCAUCAAGAUAUUGAUAGUAUUCGCAAUGACAGUGAAUUUCAGAUGAGUUUAUACUGAUACAAACUGAACUGGUUUAAAAUGAUUAUUUAACUAAGGCUCGAACACUGACUAGAAGCUAGUUGGCUCAGACUGGUUUACCAUGGACACCAGAAUACAGUUUUUUGGGGGGUUUAAUUUAAGGUUGGGGUAGUGAUGUGUUUGGAGUGAAAUCGUCAUUUUGUAUAUUUAUAUUUUGUAUAUAAAUUUGUUGAAAUGU